AUUGAACGCUGGCGGUAGGCCUAACACAUGCAAGUCGAACGGCAGCACAGUAAGAGCUUGCUCUUACGGGUGGCGAGUAGCGGACGGGUGAGGAAUACAUCGGAAUCUACUUUUUCUUGGUGGAUAACGUAGGGAAACUUACGCUAAUACCGCAUACGACCUACGGUUGAAAGCAGGUGAUCUUCGGACCUUGCGCGAUUGAAUGUGCCGAUGUCGUAUUAUCUAGUUGGCGGGGUAAAGGCCCACCAAGGCGACGAUCCGUAGCUGGUCGUAGAGGAUGAUCAGCCACGCUGGAAUUGAGACACGGUCAAGACUCCUACGAGAGGCAGCAGUGGGGAAAAGUAGACAAUGGACGCAAGUAAGAGCAAGACAUACCGCGUGGUUGAAGAAGGCAUACGGGUUGUAAAGCCCAUUUGUUGGGAAAGAAAAGGAGCAGGUUAAUACCCCGCUGUUCUGACGUUACCGAAAGAAUAAGCACCGGCAAAAUUAGUG
rnacentral:rRNA from 1 species